rnacentral:tRNA from 1 species
UAGCUCAGUUGGUAGAGCAUAACCUUGCCAAGGUUGGGGUCGCGAGUUCGAGUCUCG